rnacentral:rRNA from 1 species
UACGGGGGGGGCAAGCGUUGUUCGGAAUUACUGGGCGUAAAGGGCUCGUAGGUGGCCAACUAAGUCAGACGUGAAAUCCCUCGGCUUAACCGGGGAACUGCGUCUGAUACUGGAUGGCUUGAGUUCGGGAGAGGGAUGCGGAAUUCCAGGUGUAGCGGUGAAAUGCGUAGAUAUCAGGAGGAACACCGAUUGCGAAGGCAGCUCGCUGGGACGUAACUGACGCUGAGACGCGAAAGCGUGGGGAGCAAACAGG